GGUGCUGCAUGGCUGUCGUCAGCUCGUGCUGUGAAGUGUUGGGUUAAGUCCCGCAACGAGCGCAACCCCUGCUGCCUGUUGCCACCACGAGAGGUGGGGACUCAGGCGGGACCGCCGGUGACAAACCGGAGAAGGUGGGGACGACGUCAAGUCAUCAUGGCCCUUAUGUCCUGGGCUACACACGUGCUACAAUGGCCGGUACAGAGCGCAGCGAGGCCGCGAGGCGGAGCGAAUCGCUUAAAGCCGGUCCCAGUACGGAUUGGAGUCUGCAACCCGACUCCAUGAAGUUGGAAUCGCUAGUAAUCGCGCAUCAGCAUGGCGCGGUGAAUACGUUCCCGGGCCUU
rnacentral:rRNA from 1 species